rnacentral:rRNA from 1 species
AACCAUACUCAACAAGGAAGUGACGGCUAACUACGUGCCAGCAGCCGCGGUAAAACGUAGGUCACAAGCGUUGUCCGGAAUUACUGGGUGUAAAGGGAGCGCAGGCGGGAAGACAAGUUGGAAGUGAAAUCCAUGGGCUCAACCCAUGAACUGCUUUCAAAACUGUUUUUCUUGAGUAGUGCAGAGGUAGGCGGAAUUCCCGGUGUAGCGGUGGAAUGCGUAGAUAUCGGGAGGAACACCAGUGGCGAAGGCGGCCUACUGGGCACCAACUGACGCUGAGGCUCGAAAGUGUGGGUAGCAAACAGGAUUAGAUACCCUGGUAGUCCACACUGUAAACGAUGAUUACUAGGUGUUGGAGGAUUGACCCCUUCAGUGCCGCAGUUAACACAAUAAGUAAUCCACCUGGGGAGUACGACCGCAAGGUUGAAACUCAAAGGAAUUGACGGGGGCCCGCACAAGCAGUGGAGUAUGUGGUUUAAUUCGACGCAACGCGAAGAACCUUACCAAGUCUUGACAUCCUGCGACGGUGCUGGAAACAGUACUUUCCUUCGGGACGCAGAGACAGGUGGUGCAUGGUUGUCGUCAGCUCGUGUCGUGAGAUGUUGGGUUAAGUCCCGCAACGAGCGCAACCCUUAUGGUCAGUUACUACACWAGAGGACUCUGGCCAGACUGCCGUUGACAAA